rnacentral:tRNA from 1 species
GAGAGUAUAGCUCAGCGGUAGAGCACAUGCCUAGCAAGCAUGAGGUCCUGGGUUCAAUCCCAGUACCUGCA